rnacentral:rRNA from 1 species
GUUGAACGCUGGCGGCGUGCUUUACACAUGCAAGUCGAGCGAAAGGGCGGGGUUCUUGCUCGCGUGGCGUUAGGGGCGGAUGGGUAAUGAAUAGGAGCGUAACCUGUAGUGGAGGAUGGGCCGGCUCAAGCCGGAUUAAUACAGCAUAGGACCUGAGGGUGAAAGGGGGGGACCGAAAGGCCUCGCGGUUUUGGAUCGGCCGAUUUCGUAUUAGCUAGUUGGUGGGGUAAAGGGGUACCAAGGCGACGAUCCGUAGCUGAUCUGAGAGGCCGACCAGCCACACUGGAACUGAGACACGGCCCAGACUCCUACGGGAGGCAGCAGUGGGGAAUCUUGCACAAAGGGCGAAACCCUGACGCAGCCACGCCGCGUGAGGGAAGAAGGCCUUCGGAUCGUAAACCGCUUUUGUUCGGGAAGAAAUCCUCUGUGCUAAUACCCCGGCGUGAUGACGGUACCGGAAGAAAAAGCACCGGCUAACUACGUG